UACGUAGGGUCCAAGCGUUAAUCGGAAUUACUGGGCGUAAAGCGUGCGCAGGCGGUUCGUUAAGUCAGCUGUGAAAGCCCCGGGCUCAACCUGGGAAUUGCGGUUGAAACUGGCGAACUAGAAUCUGGCAGAGGGGGGUGGAAUUCCACGUGUAGCAGUGAAAUGCGUAGAGAUGUGGAGGAACACCGGUGGCGAAGGCGGGUCUCUGGGCAUCUCCUGACGCUGAGGCGCGAAAGCGUGGGGAGCAAACGGG
rnacentral:rRNA from 1 species